UUUCCGUAGGUGAACCUGCGGAAGGAUCAUUCAUAAUAAAGUGUUUUAUGGCACUUUUUAAAAAUCCAUAUCCACCUUGUGUGCAAUGUUAGAUCUCGUCAAUCUUGGCGAGAUUUUUAUACAUCAACUCAUUCUUUAGCUAAUUUGUCUGAAAAAUAUUAUGAAUACUCAAUUCAAAAUACAACUUUCAACAACGGAUCUCUUGGCUCUC
rnacentral:misc_RNA from 1 species